rnacentral:lncRNA from 1 species
AGAGGGAGGAGUUAAGGAGACAGACAGAGAGAGAGAGAGAUCUGAGGAGAAGAGGGAGAACCAAAAUGGAGGCUGACGUGGUGUUAUCAAAGGAUAUGUGCAAGAUGAGAGCCAGCCAUCGUCUCCUGAUAGUGGAGAUUUGAUCUGAAGCAUUCAAAUAGGAAAUGAAUGCUCAGAGGAAGCUUCAAAUUUCUUUCUACUUGAAGAAGCUGAAUUGCAGAAGCUAUCUCUGUCCUGUUAAUCACCGGGUCCACAGUGAAACCAGCCAACUUCAGAGAGUGAGUUAAAAGAGAGACUCUUGUGCUGCGUGACCCCUGACUGUAACCAAGUGUCCUUCUCUCUGAGACGUUCCCUCGGAGCUUGUUCUCACAGCCCUCACCUCCAGUGACCUCCACGAACUUUUCCACACGAGGGGUUCUCUGCUUCCCUCCAUCUGAGCUGCGCAAUUCCACCAGGCCUUUUGCUCCUCUUCAGUCAGGUGCUUUGGAGGUAAUGAAGUCUUUCGGGGGAAAAAUAAACAAAGGAAAUGCACCCGGUUGAUGUCAAUGGACUUGUUUAACUAUUUAAGGCCACUGUCUCCAAGUGUAAGUGUGCUGCGGUGUGUUUUGUAAAGUAGCGCUUAUAAUCCACUGAGCUUUCCAAACAGCCCUCUUGCCUAUUAAGCCUGCAUUGAGAAGUGGGUUUAAUUUGCCAGAGUAGUUUUUUGUGAUAAUUACAGGACUUGCAGAUUAGCUUGAGUGACUUGGCAAGGUUCUGUAGCUAAUAAAAAAUCACACAGGAAAAAAAUUGUAACAUUCAAUUGCUUCAAGGUUCUUCACGAGAGAAACAUUAAACAAACCUGAUAGGCCAGUUUCCAGUCUGUGAAGGGACUUGGAGGCAAGCCGGGAGAGAGGGAGGAGAAAGAGAUCGCCAUGAUGGGGAAGAAGGAAGAGGAGACCUAAAGGCCAGCUGACAUCAGGACUUUGGGUCCCUAACCUGCAACUCAGCACUCAGUCCAUCAUGGGCUUUGCUAGUCUCUGUGACUUCUCCAGGGCAGGAAAGUGACAGGUUUCUGCGCAAGGGAGCCCGAGGUACCUGGUUCAGGAUGGAGAGGGCACUUGAGAGGCGUCAAAAGCAAGCACAGUUAGAGGACAUCAGCGAUGUUAAAACCCCACGAGGGUCAACAGUAGCCCAGGCAAAAUAAAGGAGCCUGAAGUGGAAAAACAGAAAUGGAACAAGACGUUUGUUCUGGAGCACGUGAGAUUGUCCUUCUAAGACAUUUCCAGAAGUAUUCAAAGGAAGAUUUAAUGGGAAAUCAUUAUGCAAAAGAGUCAGUAAUAUAUUUUAGUUUCAAAAAGUACGGAGCGUGACGCCUGUCAAUUAUACCUUCUGCAAAGGUGAGUGGCGGUUGUCCUUGCUGUUCCAAAAUGCAAAGAGAAACAAACAAACAAACAAACAAGCAAACCAGCUACUCCUAUUCCGCACUCCAAACACCAAGCAGAAAUGCUUCUGGGACAAACUGAGCUUCAUUCUUUAUGAAAAUGAAAACACUUCUUUCUGUGCACUAGGAAAAUGUUCUGCCUCUGAGCUGCAAAACCAGCACCAAACUUGAAAAGUUUGUGCAUCAAAGGAAAAAGGCAACCUACAGGAUGGGGGAGAAUAUUUGCAGGACACAUGUCCUGGAAGGAAUACAUAUUUAGACUGAAUAAAAUGAGUAAGAGGAGGGAUAGGGAGUUCGUGUUCAAUGUUGAGAGCUUGGGACAGUUGAGAAAACGCUCCGGAGUGUUCUGCAGAUGAAUGAUGGUGACGACUGCAUCAGUGUGAAUGUCCUUAACGCCGUCAAAAAUUGGUUAUAAUGGCAAAUUUUAUGCUACAUAUGUUUUACUACAAUAAAAAUGCCAGGAAAAUCUAACUGCUCCAAAUCCUGAAUUUAUUAACCCAAUAAAUUAGGAGAUGGUUAUUGACCUAUAAAUGGAUUUGUCAAUUUUUAAAAUGAUUUCCUUUAAAUUGAAUUCUUUCCUAGAGCUUUAUUGUCUCUUCACAAACCAUUAAACACUUGUUAAAGUGUUCAGAGAGGGCUGAGAUGGAGGAGGAAGUGAAAACCAAACAAACAGAUGAGGGACCUUCCCCAAAUGAUGUCUGCUAACAGGCUUCUUGGGUAUUCUAUUUAUAUAGAUUUUACAAGUGUUUUAUUUGAGAGGAAAAAUCCCUAGACCUUACAUAGUACAAUGAACUUCUUAUGCCUGUCAGCUAGAUUUAUUAAUUUUUAACGAGGUGUAUUACUUUUAAAAGCUAUCUAUUUACUAUUGGGGGAGGGAGAAGGACAAAGGACAUCUUGCAGAAGUCUGGUCUCUCCUGCUAUGUGGGUUCUGGAGAUAGGAAAUCAGGCAGGUUGUCAGGCCUAGAAGCAAAGGCCUGUCUGCACUGAGCCAUCUUACUUGUCUUAUUUUGUUACUUUUGAUGACCUAUUUUAGACAUCACUAUUCUAUAGCCCUAAGUAUAACUUCAAGUAUGUAUCUUCCACAAUGACUUUAUGACCAUGAAAUCAAUUCAAGAAAUUUAACAUGUAUGCAGUUCUAUCCAGCGUACAUACAGAUUUCUCAUCCCCCCUUUUACUGUAGUUUAUAGAAAAAGCAAUUCUCUUCCAUAUCUAGAGUUUGACAAGGAAUAUGCAUUGCAUUUGGUUUCUGUGUUCUUUAAUCUCUUGUUGUACAGAACUUCAACCUUUCAUGACAGGUUGAACAAUUUUGGAUCAUACAGGCUGUCAUGGUUUGAAUAUGUUUGGCCCAGGGAGUGGUACUGUUAGGGGUGUGGUCUUCUUGGAAUAGGUGUGUCACCGUGGGCGUGGGCUUUAAGACCCUCAUCCUUAGCUUCUGGAAGUCAGUCUUCCACUAGCAACCUUCAGAUGAAGAUGUAGAACUCUCACCAUCUCCUGCACUAUACCUGCCUGGAUAUCGCCAUGUUCCUGCCUUGAUGAUUAUGGACUGAACCUCUGAACCUGUAAGCCAGCCCCAAUUAAAUUUGUCCUUAUAAGAGUUACCUUGGUCAUGGUGUCUGUUCACAGCAGUAAAACCCUAACUAAGACACAGGCCAAUUACAGAAUGUCUCUUUUUGGUGUGUGCAGUGUUAAAGUUUGAAGCACAAGCCUAAUGCUUGUUAGACAAGCACUCUACCGCUGCUCUACAUCAGCAGCUCAGUGUGCCUCUUGUCUUGAUGGGCUCAUUGUUUUUUAUGACCCAGUGCAUUGGGGUGAGCAGCUCACACAGGUACGAAGGGGUCCCUCUCAGAGCUUAACAUCAGGGAACUCAAUGUUGGUUUGUCUGUUCUAUUUCAGCUGAGCUAGUAUCUGGCAGUUCCCCACAACCCCCAUCAAGUUACCACUUUUUUCUUUGUAAUUGUAAUUUGCAAAGAAAUAUUUGCAAGAUUAAGUAAUAGACUACACAACGUGUUUUAGCUUCCACUGAGCAUUCAGCCUGAACUGUUUUAUAAAGUUAUGAAAUGAUAGAUUUCCAACUUAAUAAUUAUUUUAAAGACUUAUUUUAUUUUUAGUUCUGCAUGUAUGCCUGUGUGUGCACGUGUGUACCUAUGUAUCUGUAUGGUUAUGUGCACAUGAAUGCAGAUGUCCAAGGAGAAGAGGCCAGACACAUUGGAUCCCUGGUGCUCAAGUGGGAGGUGGCUGUCAGCUGCUGUAGGAAGGUGAUGGGAACUCAGCUUGAGUCCUUUGCAAGAACAGCAUGAGCUCUUAAACACAGAGCCACAUCUUCAGUCCCUCUCUUAUUUUUUUAAAAAUUAUUCUCUCUCUGUGUAUGUGUGUGUAUACAGAGGUCAGAGGAUCAUUUUUGUAAAAUUAGUUCUCUCUACCUUUUUUUGUGGGCUCUGGGGACUAAACUCAAGUUGUUGGGAUUUUGUGACAAGUGCUGUAUCCACUGAGCCCUCUCACAUGCCCUUAAAUGUUAUUUUAAAUAAUAGCAAAUGAGUACGUUCAAGCAUACGAGAAUAAGCAUGUCCUAUUGAUUUGAAUAUGCAAAAGUAUGCCAAUUUUUUAAAUCUCUAUUACCAAGUGGACAAGUAUUCCAUUUUAUCUCCAAAAGUAAAGAUUUCUUUUAGAUACAGUCAUGUGGAUUAUACAACUUGACUGAAGCCAUGUCUCCAAGAUACAUACCUAGAGGGUAAAGGGAAUGCUUUAAAGGAGCGUGAUUAUGAAUAUCCAAGCUGAAAAUAAACACUAAUUACUAACAAAAAGGAUUACUGAGAAAAAUAUGGGUUGGUUUUCAGUACUUGACUCUGUAAAGUUAUUUCUUUUCUUAUUUAGUUUUUAUUCAUAAUCAUAAACUUAACUUUGCCAUCCAGCUAGACUUGAAGGGGAAUGAGGAAAAUAUGGAACCCAAAGAACUUGAGCAGAGAUUACAGGGUAUUUCAAGCAGAUGGGGUAGGGAUGCUCUCCUGCGCUACAGAAGGAAUGGUUGGAUGGGUAAAAUGCCUGCAAGUCAAAAGAAAUUAGAGUUAUCCACAGUCGGAAAUGGUCUUGCUGGUCUUUCCAUUCCUGGACCCAAAACACUCCAUGGCUUCCACAAUGUUCAUGCCUUCUUUCACCUUCCCAGACACCACAUGCUUGCCAUCCAGCCACUUAGUCUUGGCAGUGCAGAUAAAAAACUGGGAACCGUUUGUGUUGGUCCAGUAUUUGCCAUGGACAAGAUGCCAGGACCUGUAUGCUUCAGGAUGAAGAUCUCAUCCUCAAAUUUCUCUCCAUAGAUGGAUCUGCCGCCAGUGCCAUUAUGGCAUGUAAAGUCACCACCCUGGCACAUGAAUCCUGGAAUAAUUCUGUGAAAGGAGGAACCCUUCUAGUAAAAUCCUUUCUCUCCAGUGCUCAGAGCAUGAAAGUUUCCCGCUGUCUUUGGAACUUUGUCUGCAAACAGCUGGAAGGAGACUCUUCAAGGGCUCGUCAUCGGCCGUGAUGUCAGAGAACACGGUGGGGUCGACUGUGGCUACAGCAAGAGGACCAACGGUACUGUUGCUCUAGCUACAGGAAUAAUCCUGGGCAGCACUUGUUGACCUUGGUCACUGUCAAGGGAAGAUCGGCUGUUCCCACUGAGGGCAUCUUGAUGGAUUAAGGUGAUCAGCUGAUCAAUGUGAGGGGACAGAUGGGAGCUAGGAACUGUCUCGGUACUGAGUCAUUUUUCAUCUAAUGUGCAAGAAACCCAAAGAGCACAUCAAACAGCGAACUACGCCUAAGCUAUCCAUGUUUCUCCUGCUUCUUCUGAGAGGGUGAUUUACACGUAGCUCAACACUCGAGUGUUGCAGUAUCGAGUGACUGCAACCAAACAAUGGAACAUGCAUCGUGCCUGUUGACAGAGCCUGCAGUUGGCUUGGAACCGGGACCAUGCUGCAUUCGACAUCGUUCCUGGUGGCUGACUUGUUCCCAUAGAAUUAAAUGCUAGGCAUCCAGAAGCUGACUGUGCAUCUGAUGGGCUCACUAACAUUCAGGAACAGGUUGGCCUCAGACUUCAUCAAUGGAAAG